GACGAACGCUGGCGGCGUGCUUAACACAUGCAAGUCGAACGGAAAGGCCCUGCUUUUGUGGGGUGCUCGAGUGGCGAACGGGUGAGUAACACGUGAGUAACCUGCCCUUGACUUUGGGAUAACUUCAGGAAACUGGGGCUAAUACCGGAUAGGAGCUCCUGCUGCAUGGUGGGGGUUGGAAAGUUUCGGCGGUUGGGGAUGGACUCGCGGCUUAUCAGCUUGUUGGUGGGGUAGUGGCUUACCAAGGCUUUGACGGGUAGCCGGCCUGAGAGGGUGACCGGCCACAUUGGGACUGAGAUACGGCCCAGACUCCUACGGGAGGCAGCAGUGGGGAAUAUUGCACAAUGGGCGGAAGCCUGAUGCAGCAACGCCGCGUGCGGGAUGACGGCCUUCGGGUUGUAAACCGCUUUCGCCUGUGACGAAGCGUGAGUGACGGUAAUGGGUAAAGAAGCACCGGCUAACUACGUGCCAGCAGCCGCGGUGAUACGUAGGGUGCGAGCGUUGUCCGGAUUUAUUGGGCGUAAAGGGCUCGUAGGUGGUUGAUCGCGUCGGAAGUGUAAUCUUGGGGCUUAACCCUGAGCGUGCUUUCGAUACGGGUUGACUUGAGGAAGGUAGGGGAGAAUGGAAUUCCUGGUGGAGCGGUGGAAUGCGCAGAUAUCAGGAGGAACACCAGUGGCGAAGGCGGUUCUCUGGGCCUUUCCUGACGCUGAGGAGCGAAAGCGUGGGGAGCGAACAGGCUUAGAUACCCUGGUAGUCCACGCUGUAAACGGUGGGUACUAGGUGUGGGGUCCAUUCCACGGGUUCCGUGCCGUAGCUAACGCUUUAAGUACCCCGCCUGGGGAGUACGGCCGCAAGGCUAAAACUCAAAGGAAUUGACGGGGCCCCGCACAAGCGGCGGAGCAUGCGGAUUAAUUCGAUGCAACGCGUAGAACCUUACCUGGGUUUGACAUGGAUCGGGAGUGCUCAGAGAUGGGUGUGCCUCUUUUGGGGUCGGUUCACAGGUGGUGCAUGGCUGUCGUCAGCUCGUGUCGUGAGAUGUUGGGUUAAGUCCCGCAACGAGCGCAACCCUUGUUCACUGUUGCCAGCACGUUAUGGUGGGGACUCAGUGGAGACCGCCGGGGUCAACUCGGGGGAAGGUGGGGAUGACGUCAAGUCAUCAUGCCCCUUAUGUCCAGGGCUUCACGCAUGCUACAAUGGCUGGUACAGAGAGUGGCGAGCCUGUGAGGGUGAGCGAAUCUCGGAAAGCCGGUCUCAGUUCGGAUUGGGGUCUGCAACUCGACCUCAUGAAGUCGGAGUCGCUAGUAAUCGCAGAUCAGCAACGCUGCGGUGAAUACGUUCCCGGGGC
rnacentral:rRNA from 1 species